UUAGGCCUGUAAAACUCUAAUUUACAUCUUCUGAAUGCAACCCAGACACUUUAAUUAAGCUAAAGCCUG
rnacentral:tRNA from 1 species